CCCGCUGAACUUAAGCAUAUCAAUAAGCGGAGGAAAAGAAACCAACAGGGAUUGCCUCAGUAACGGCGAGUGAAGCGGCGACAGCUCAAAUUUGAAAUCUGGCCUCUUUGGGGUCCGAGUUGUAAUUUGUAGAGGAUGUUUUGGGUACCGCCCCGGUCUAAAUUUCUUGGAACAGAAUGUCAAAGAGGGUGAGAAUCCCGUCUUGGACCGGCGGUAGGGCCUGUGUAAAACUCCUUCGACGAGUCGAGUUGUUUGGGAAUGCAGCUCAAAAUGGGUGGUAAAUUUCAUCUAAAGCUAAAUAUUGGCCAGAGACCGAUAGCGCACAAGUAGAGUGAUCGAAAGAUGAAAAGCACUUUGAAAAGAGAGUUAAACAGUAUGUGAAAUUGUUGAAAGGGAAGCGCUUGCAACCAGACUUGAGCGCGGCGGUUCCCCCGGUCUUUUGGCCGGUCUACUCCGUCGUGUCCAGGCCAACAUCGGUUCUGAGGGUCGGUCAAAGGCCUUGGGAAUGUAUCUACCCAUCGGGUAGACUUAUAGACCAGGGUGUCAUGCGGCCUCUCGGGACGCAGAGGAACGCGACUUCGGCUCGGAUGUUGGCGUAAUGGUUGUCAGCGACCCGUCUUGAAACACGG
rnacentral:rRNA from 1 species